rnacentral:lncRNA from 1 species
UACUUUCAAGAGUUUUAUUUCAUUUAACAUAAGAUUUGUGUAAAACUACAUUACUUCAUACUCUCAGGAAUUAGGAAGAAAAAGAUAUAUGUAUGCACACUUCACAAAAAGUUGCACUGCUAAACAGUUACUUUAACCUUACAAACUAGCAAAGAAGUAUCCAUGAUAUACUAGAUUUUUGUUUUUAUUCUUUAAGCAUUAAAUAAUUCAUCAAUAUCACAACAGCUUCAGUAACUAACUGUUCUACGGAAUAGAUUUAAGGCUUGACACUUAACAUAUAGACAAGCUGUAUCAAAAAGAAUGUUCUAUGCUUCAUUAUAUGGUCCAACCAGUCUCACAGCUCUAGUCAAAGUGAUGGCAAGUGGAAGAAGCUGAAAGAACCAAUUUUUUUUUUUUUUUUCCAGUUCUUACAUAAGCAUUUUAGGAGUGAGGAUUUCUUCUCAAUUCAGAAAAAUCUUUUAUAUACUUAAUUGUCACCCAGCCUUGGCUUCACCAAUUCAAAUACAGAGAAAAAGAUAUGAAAUAAAAACAAGGGAAAGCUAAAUUUUCUUUUUGCGCUCUCCUGGUCUUACCAAUCACACAGUCAUCCGGUUGCUGUGAGGAGGGUAA